rnacentral:rRNA from 1 species
GUAGGUGGCAAGCGUUGUCCGGGAAUUAUUGGGGCGUAAAGCGCGCGCAGGCGGUUCUUUAAGUCUGAUGUGAAAGCCCACGGGCUCAACCGUGGAGGGUCAUUGGAAACUGGAGAACUUGAGUACAGAAGAGGAAAGCGGAAUUCCACGUGUAGCGGUGAAAUGCGUAGAGAUGUGCGGGAACACCAGUGGCGAAGGCGGCUUUCUGGUCUGUAACUGACGCUGAGGCGCGAAAGCGUGGGGAGCAAACAGGAUUAGAUACCCUGGUAGUCCACGCCGUAAACGAUGAGUGCUAAGUGUUAGGGGGUUUCCGCCCCUUAGUGCUGCAGCUAACGCAUUAAGCACUCCGCCUGGGGAGUACGGCCGCAAAGGCUGA